AUUGAACGCUGGCGGCAUGCCUUACACAUGCAAGUCGAACGGUAACGGGCCUUCGGGUGCUGACGAGUGGCGAACGGGUGAGUAAUGUAUCGGAACGUACCUUUCAGUGGGGGAUAACGUAGCGAAAGUUACGCUAAUACCGCAUAUUCUGUGAGCAGGAAAGCAGGGGAUCGCAAGACCUUGCGCUGAUUGAGCGGCCGAUAUCAGAUUAGCUAGUUGGUGAGGUAAAGGCUCACCAAGGCGACGAUCGGUAGCGGGUCUGAGAGGAUGGUCCGCCACACUGGAACUGAGACACGGUCCAGACUCCUACGGGGGGCAGCAGUGGGGAAUUUUGGGCAAUGGGGGCAACCCUGAUCCAGCUAUGCCGCGUGAGUGAAGAAGGCCUUCGGGUUGUAAAGCUCUUUCGGCCGGGAAGAAAUCGUAUCAGCUAAUACCUGGUGCGGAUGACGGUACCGGCAUAAGAAGCACCGGCUAACUACGUGCCAGCAGCCGCCGUAAUAC
rnacentral:rRNA from 1 species